ACGCUCGACACCUACGGGAGGCUGCAGUGGGGAAUAUUGCACAAUGGGGGAAACCCUGAUGCAGCGACGCCGCGUGGAGGAAGAAGGUCUUCGGAUUGUAAACUCCUGUUGUUGGGGAAAAAGAGGAUGGUACCCAACAAGGAAGUGACGGCUAACUACGUGCCAGCAGCCACGGUAAUCUGAGCGGGCUGGCAAGGC
rnacentral:rRNA from 1 species